UCUAGAACUCUGUGAAACUUCCUGCUGUCUCAACAAGUUUCCACGCUAGGAGACUUUGGGCUUAUCAUUUAACAUUUCCAUGCUUUCAUAAAUUAGAUGAAUAACCUCCGGACUGCCUGGUUUGUAAGAUGGUUGUGAAGAUUAAAGGUGGAAAUAUAUAGGAAAACACUUUGUAAAUCAUGAAAGCUUAAUAAGUAUCAACACUAUUUUCUACCUGAGUCAGUAGUCAUUGGAAAUUCCAAUAUUUGGCAGUUGUGAAUAACUGCCAAUUUAACAGUUGUUCAAUAUCAACAGCUUUUUAAAAGCUGAGGUCUUCAAGCUACAGGUAGAAGGAGAUAAAAGAAGCUUUCCUAAUUCAUUAGAACAUCAGUUCUCCCCAGACAUAAUGUUCAUCAUGGAAGUACUUUUCCCCUUUGGAGAUCACUGGAAACAGCUUCUGGACCACAAAUGGGGUGAACUACUGUAUCGAGAAAGGAGAGAGUAAGACUUGAGAGCUAUCUUUUUAGCUCAGGGUGCAGGACUGGACUAAGAACUCAGUUAAGUGAAGCAAGCAAGAAUUUCCCAAGUGAUGCCAACUCAAAAUGAAUUAUAUCAAGAAAGGAAAAGCAGCUUUUUCAUCUGGAAAGAACUGGAGACCUUGAACCUAGGCAGCAUGUGCCUUGAACCUAGGAUCAGUAAACAACAAGGAUGGAAAAGACAGUAAGAAUUUGGUCAGAUCACCAUAUCUUUCCGUUGUGCCUUUAGAACAAAAGGAAAGAAAAUAUCUCUUUGGCUCACAGAGAAAAUAUGUUGAGAAAUGAAGUACAACCCCUCACUGUGCUGGGCACAGAGCAGGUGCUCGGUAAAUAAAUAGUGUACGUGUUCGCUGAGUAA
rnacentral:lncRNA from 1 species